CAGCCAGUGGGAUUCCUGGCAGAGUGAUUUGAUAUUGUAUCAUAAAAUCACAUUGCCAGGGAUUUCCAACCAGCU
rfam:Salmo salar isolate Sally breed double haploid chromosome ssa14, whole genome shotgun sequence.